rnacentral:rRNA from 1 species
UAAGGUUAAGUUAAUAAGGGCGCACGGUGGAUGCCUUGGCACUAGAAGCCGAUGAAGGACGUGACAAACGACGAAAUGCUUUGGGGAGCUGUAAGUGAGCGUAGAUCCAGAGAUGUCCGAAUGGGGGAACCCGGCAGGUUGAUGCCUGUCAUCACUAGUUGUUAAGACUAGUAGAAGGAAGACGCAGUGAACUGAAACAUCUAAGUAGCUGCAGGAAGAGAAAGCAAAAGCGAUUGCCUUAGUAGCGGCGAGCGAAACGGCAGGAGGGCAAACCGAAGAGUUUACUCUUCGGGGUUGUAGGACUGCAAUGUGGACUUAAAGAGUAUAGACGAAGAUUCUGGGAAGGGUCGCCAAAGAGAGUAACAGCCUCGUAGUCGAAAUAGUCUUUAUACCUAGCAGUAUCCUGAGUACGGCGAGACACGCGAAAUCUCGUCGGAAUCUGGGAGGACCAUCUCCCAACCCUAAAUACUCUCUAGUGACCGAUAGUGAACCAGUACCGUGAGGGAAAGGUGAAAAGCACCCCGGAAGGGGAGUGAAAUAGAACCUGAAACCGUGUGCCUACAACAAGUUCGAGCCCGUUAAUGGGUGAGAGCGUGCCUUUUGUAGAAUGAACCGGCGAGUUACGUUAUGAUGCGAGGUUAAGUUGAAGAGACGGAGCCGUAGGGAAACCGAGUCUUAAUAGGGCGCAUUAGUAUUAUGACGUAGACCCGAAACCAUGUGACCUACCCAUGAGCAGGUUGAAGGUGCGGUAAGACGCACUGGAGGACCGAACCAGGGCACGUUGAAAAGUGCUUGGAUGACUUGUGGGUAGCGGAGAAAUUCCAAACGAACUUGGAGAUAGCUGGUUCUCUCCGAAAUAGCUUUAGGGCUAGCGUCGACAUUAAGAAUCUUGGAGGUAGAGCACUGUUUGGAUGAGGGGGCCAUCUCGGUUUACUGAUUUCAGAUAAACUCCGAAUGCCAAUGAUUUAUGGUCGGCAGUCAGACUGCGAGUGCUAAGAUCCGUAGUCGAAAGGGAAACAGCCCAGACCACCAGCUAAGGUCCCAAAAUAUAUGUUAAGUGGAAAAGGAUGUGGGGUUGCACAGACAACUAGGAUGUUAGCUUAGAAGCAGCUAUUCAUUCAAAGAGUGCGUAAUAGCUCACUAGUCGAGUGACCCUGCGCCGAAAAUGUACCGGGGCUAAAACAUAUUACCGAAGCUGUGGAUACCACAAUGUGGUAUGGUAGGAGAGCGUUCUAUAGGCGAUGAAGGUGUACCGUGAGGAGCGCUGGAGCGUAUAGAAGUGAGAAUGCCGGUAUGAGUAGCGCAAGAUGGGUGAGAAUCCCAUCCACCGUAAGACUAAGGUUUCCAGGGGAAGGCUCGUCCGCCCUGGGUUAGUCGGGACCUAAGGAGAGACCGAAAGGUGUAUCCGAUGGACAACAGGUUGAUAUUCCUGUACUAGAGUAUGAAGUGAUGGAGGGACGCAGUAGGCUAACUAAAGCGGGCGAUUGGAAGAGCCCGUCUAAGCAGUGAGGUGUGAUAUGAGUCAAAUGCUUGUAUCUGUAACAUUGAGCUGUGAUGGGGAGCGAAGUUUAG